CCCCCCAGGGAACCUGGAAUUUAGCUUCCGCACCUAUCCCCCGUGACCCUGCAAAUAUCUAGUCAAAACCUAAUGUAACAGUUUUAAAAGAAGUCAGGUUCCUAACUUCCUUAGAACUUGCUGAACUGUUUCUCUUUUGGUGGGAAGCAUAGAACUACCCUGUCCUUUAUUUUCUCAUUUCCUGGUGAUUAUCAGACUUAUGACAUUAAGGAACAUUAUUCAUAAAGAUGAUACAGGUGAUUGCACCUUUGUGCUUACUAAAUUUAUUGGCUGGAGCUUCUCGGACACUUUGAAGAUUGAAAUGCCUUUUUUUCCCUUUGGGCUGUUUUAUGCUGACAAUUCCUUGUCGGAGACACUCCGUAUUUCCUAAUAAUUCUGAUUGUUACUGACAACUAUAACUUCUAAUCUUUGUUGUUUUCUAAAGCUUGGUUUCUUUUUUGUGUGUUGUGUCUAUGUACUUCCAUUGUUGACUAUGAAUAUUACAUGUAUGUGAAUAAUUAUGAUUUUUCACAUCAUAACGAGGAAUCUCUUAAAUGAGCCAUGCUCUUUGAAUAGGAAUAAAAUAUGUUGUUUUCAGUUCUUCACACUUUAUGGGCCUUAUUUUACUUAUAUGAUAGCCUCUUUUCAUAUGUGUUGCAAUUACCUUUAUUAUUACAUCUAUUAGUGAGUAUGCACCGGGUAUGUUGUUGUUGUUAGUGUGUAUGCAUCUAGAAAGCAAGCUGAAGAGCUAGAUAUAGAACCUUGGUGACAUGUCUUGACUCAAGACUGUUAAUUCUUGAUUGUCGUACUCAUAUUGGAGCCAAUUUGCACAACUACUAAGAAGUCAAACUAGUGAACUCUCAAAGAAGUCACUCUAUGCAACUUGGUAUGUCAAGAUAAAACUAAGUAUGUGGCAGUUAUUCCUUGCAUUGGUUAAUACAACUUGGAUUAUGCCCAGUACUACUUGUGAUCUUUUGAGGUGCUGGAACAAUGUAGGUGGCUGGGGAAGGAAGAAGAGAUGGUGGAGGGCUAUACCAGCAUGCAUUUGGUGGAAUGUCUGGAAGGAAAGAUAAAACCAAGUAUGUUGUGGCAGAAAGCUUACAAACUAGAAAUAACAAGCAGCCCGAAAUUAGUGGAAAGUUAUUAGGAGACCUUUUAAAGAACUUCAAUACUCUGGUAAUUUUCAAAGUGCAAACUUAAAAUCUGAAGGCGUGAUCUGCUACUGCAAUUUGAUUAGGUCAUGAAAUUUUUGCAAGUGUUGCAACCAUAAUGGUCAUGAAAUUUUUGCAAGUGUUGCAACCGUAAUGUGUCACGCGGACAAAAUAGCUGCAAGCUUUUGUGGAUAAGAGUUAGUAUGAACAGUAAUAGUUGUGCAGUGCUUAUGCUUUCCUAUUUGUAGAGAGAGAGAGAGAGUGUGUGUAUAUCGCUUAUGUUCGUUCACAUAGUAUCGCUUAUGUUGACUAUCCCAUUGAGGGUGUAUAUGACAUAUGGCUAUUAUGGGACAUUUAUUCCUCUAGAGACAUAAUGUUGAUAGUUCUGAGCUAAUAACCUCCUCCACAGGUAAUUCCACCAUUGUUUUUGGCUAAAAUUAUUGGCUGAAGAUCCUCAGAUUUCUUUGAGGUUUGAGGUCCUUUCUUUCCUUUUGGGUUAAACAGUUGGACAGUCUUUAGUGUCUUCAUAGAAUAGCAGUCAGCACGAAAUAGCAUCUGGGCAACAAUUAAGUUGUUUGUUCAAAUGAACCUUGAUCCUAGCAUAGGAAUAAUUUAAUUUAUGUUUUCUUAGAAGGAAAAUUGAGUCAAACCAAACUGUUAAGUGUGAACACCUAGUCUGAAGUUGAUUAAUUUUUCUAACUUAAAAGAAGUGCUAACCAAUUACUGUAAUCUCUACUUUUUUGUAUUUGUCUACAAUAACUAUCUGUGCCCUUUAGCCAAAUAAUUAUUAUAAUCUUUUCUUUGUUUAUUUUCAGUUAAUGUAAUCUUCUAUUAUUCAAAAGUAGUAAAAUGCAUUUAUUACUAAGUGAGAACGCUUCAUCACAUCUCACUUUCUGGUUGGUUAUAAAUGUUGAAAGAUUCAUAUCCUAACACAUGUGUUUAUUUUUUUCCAGAUCGGUCACUCUCGUUCCUUUUUCUUUCUUAGAUGCUAGAAAUGGUUGUCCGUCUUAUCAAAUGAUAAUCUUUCAUGUUAUGUGUAAGGAGAAUCACAAACCUGACAAAUAUAUGUGACCAUCUCUAAAAGAAAGAAUACAGUAUUUCCCGGUGUUUAGAUAAAUUUUUGUCAUUUCAUUUACAAAAGAAUGCUCUGUUUGUGAAAAAAAUGUCAUAUCGCGUUCUUGAAAAAGACAUUUGUCAAGCUUGUGAUUUUCCUCUAAUGGCAUGGAAAAUAUUAUCAACUGGUGAGUGGACCUCCAUUCAUCUGAGUUGGAAAACGGAACGGGUCAUUGAUCGGGUACUUCUCCGGUGCUGGAGCUGGAGCACUUUCAUCGAUUUUCAAGAUUUCAGUGUUGUUUUUGAGUCGGUGAAAUUGGUUUUUUCCUUAGAACCCUAGAUUGAUUAACCCUUUGAGUGAUUCUUAUCCUGUUCCAUGAUUAUUUGUUGUUUAUUUGUGUGGAUGUGUGCAGAUUUUGGAACCUUAUUAACUGCUUCAAUUUAAUUACCAAAUCUUGAAUCCAAAUUUGCUUUUAGAAGAAGCUAGGAAGAUUUUGAUAAUGUAAUUUCUGGAAAUUGUUCUUUUAUUGACUGUUAUGAUGUAUGUAUCUAUAAAUUUGAACUCUAGAAGAUUAAGUUAGCUUACUAGUGCAUCCACGAAACCGUAGAUGAAACUAAUUUGAAUUAUUUUACCGAUUACGAUUAGUAAGCUCUAUUGCAGGAAAUGGAUAUGUUUCUAAAACUCGACGAUAGGAUUGCUUGGUAAGUGAUUUCAUACUCAUCUUUGAUAAAAUCGUCUUGUUACUGACCUGCUAUUUUUGAGCUUCUGUUUCUUAACAUGUUAUGUCAGUAUUAUCCUUUUCUGUUUUUUGUUACUUGGCAGACUUUGGGUUUCCUUCAACACAUCCACAUACGGAUGGCUCAUCUGAAGGAGUUUCUUCUGAAACGAGAGCCCUUCCAAAUGUAAAACCUGUCUGGAUACGCCUUGCUAUUCUAGAUUCAUAGAUUUGCUUUUAGAAGAAGCUAGGACGAUUUUGAUAAUGUAAUUUCUGGAAAUUGUUCUUUUAUUGACUGUUAUGGUGUAUGUAUCUAUAAAUUUGAACUCUAGAAGAUUAAGUUAGCUUACUAGUGCAUCCACGAAACCGUAGAUGAAACUAAUUUGAAUUAUUUUACCGAUUACGAUUAGUAAGCUCUAUUGCAGGAAAUGGAUAUGUUUCUAAAACUCGACGAUAGGAUUGCUUGACUUUGGGUUUCCUUCAACACUUCCACAUAUGAUGGCUCAUCUGAAGGAGUUUCUUCUGAAACGAGAGCCCGUCCAAAUGUAAAACCUGUCUGGAUACGCCCUGCUAUUCUAGAUUCAUAGAUGUUUGAGGAGAAGCAGCCACUUUGGAAUUAUCUUUGGUAUAUCUAAAUAAUAGAUUGCAUGCUGAUGCUAUAUCUGAAGUCUGAACAAAGUGGAGAAUGGAGACUCGUAAUCCUGAAGUGUUAUCAGGUUUUGGUGCACAAGAAACAUUUAAUGCAGUUAAUGCUGAAGUUGUAGCUGCUUUCUACAGGCAAUUCCACCUUUAUUGCUAAAGCUAUUGGCUGAAGCUUUUCAGACCACUUUGAGGUAUGAAAUCCCUUUGUUUAUAUAUGUCGAAUUCAUGUUUCCCUCUGUCGUUCUCGUUUUAGACUCUAAAUACUUUCUAACUGUCAUGUUUGGUGCUAAUAAUCUUAACCUCAAUCUUUUUCUUAUGUAAUGCUGCUAGUCCUUGUCUCUGUCAACAAUAAAGACAUGCUGCCGCCUGAUUAGAAUAAAACACUUCAUGAACCUUGUUGUUGCUCUUAGUAUGGGAAUAAUCUAAGCUGCUACUUCAUUAUAAUAAACCCCUUAAAUGAGCCUUGUUCUAAGUAUGGGAAUAAUCUAGGUUACUUUCAGUAAUGCGCACCUUAUGGGACCUUAUUUCACCUCCUUCUUAGACUCGUAAUGAGUAUGCAUCUGGAAGGCUAGCUGAAGUGCUAGAAAUAAAUGUUCACAGACACUUUUUUUACUCGAGUCAAGACUCUAACUCUCAAUCUUCAGAACUCGUAUUGGAGCCACUUCAUAGAACAAACUACGAAGAAUUGAAAAUACUAAAUCUAUCAAAGAAAUAAUUCCUAUGCAACUUGGUAUAAUAAGUUGGAAAGUAAAAGCAAGCAUGCUGUGGCAGCAAUAGUUACAACCCUGAAAUAACUGUCAAAAAGUAGUAGAAAGUUAUCAGGAGAGCUUCACUUCAGUAUCUUGGUAAUGAUUUAACUUAAAGUGAACAUGUGAUGUACUAUCAGAAUUUGACUUGUUACGGCAUGAUAUAUUUGUGAGGGUUGCAUCUGUAGCUUAUCAUAUGGUCAUAUAGUCGCGGGCAUUUCGACUGAAUUUAAUUCUUGCUGAGGAACUCGUCCCCACAUAUUAUGAAUAAAUAUUUAGUUGUGUUAUAUUAACAGUUGUCGCAUCUCUCACUCUUCCUAUUUAUCAAGUAAAUCCUCUUGUUCUCCACACUUUUGUUCCCAUAGGUUGUUUUAUUAGCCUUCAAAGGGCUAAUCCAAUUUGUAAACUUCUCAACACCAGCCUUGAACUAUUAGCGCAAUUGUUAUAUUUCCAUCGUUCUGAAAUCAAACUGGUUUGUAAUAGUAGAAUGACGCCUUUAUAUAUUUUUCUUCCGUAGAAAGAAUUAUCUGCAUUAGUACUUUCAAUGUAACAGGGAUUGCCGCCUCCUGAGCCUGGUAUAUUCCAUAUCUUCGACUUAUCAUUUCCCCCCCGGUAUCCUUCUGUUUUUUGUAGUUUUAUGUACGUGUUAUUGAAAUGAAUUGGCAGGAUAUCAAAAACCUGUGAGGGUAAAGUCAAGCUAAUAUAUAGGAUGACUGGGGCCGAAUGGAGUUGUGGUGGUUUGUGUGGUUUGUAGUUUGCUUUCGUAUUAGGUCAGCAAAUUGAUCAGGUCUCUGAGCUCAAGAGGGAACUAAAAUCGACUAUUUGAAUCCUUAUUGUCCAUGUCGCUUGAUUUAACCCCGUCUUACUAUGAUAUUUUGUUUAAGAAUUUGUUGUAAUGCUUAAAUAAUGAAUUGAUGAAUGGAUAUUCAAGUAACUAACAAGAAAAAAGAGUUUGAGCUCUUUUUUUGGUUGACUUUUA